rnacentral:rRNA from 1 species
UACGUAGGGAGCGAGCGUUAUCCGGAUUUACUGGGUGUAAAGGGCGUGUAGGCGGGAUGGCAAGUCAGGCGUGAAAACUAUGGGCUCAACCCAUAGCCUGCGUUUGAAACUGUCGUUCUUGAGUGAUGGAGAGGCAAGCGGAAUUCCGUGUGUAGCGGUGAAAUGCGUAGAUAUACGGAGGAACACCAGUGGCGAAGGCGGCUUGCUGGACAUUAACUGACGCUGAGGCGCGAAAGCGUGGGGAGCAAACAGG